AGCGAUAUUUUAGGGUUUAGUACCGGAGGAGGAGGCUUUGCGCGAGCGAUGUGGCGCUUAAUCGAUCGAUGCAAGUACCUACAUUUCCUUCCUUCUCCCUUUUUCGCGUUCUUUUCCAGGUACGAUAAGAUUCGCGGAGAAGAGAGGCGAUCCAUUUUCUCGGUUCCAGUGGCGAGUGAAUUGAGUACACUGCUGCAAGAGCUAAAGUUUCUCGGGAUGAACAAAGGCUCUGCUCUCCUGGGCUGGAGGAGCUGUUCAAGGCUGGGCCACUCUUGCCAUUCACGAGUGCUCGAAGAUGGAAAAAGGAAAUCACCUCUGCACACCACUGCCUCUCACCAAGGGCCGUCCUUCCUCUCGGUGAAAUUGUUUUUUUUGGCUACGGCUAAAGCCGCUCCCUGACACCAUCCUCGUCGCUCACACUGCUUGCCUGAUGGAGAAUUCAGCUUUUCCCAUGGAACCUGAUCCAUGCAAUCGUCUCGCUUCAUUCUCGAUCCAGAGGUACUUUUUUUUUCCUGACCAAGCCAACUACAAGCCUUUUUCCCCAUACUGCGAAAGCGCAAUAAUGCUUCGACUACAUGCCGUAUGUCUGUACAGGAGCGGGUACCAAUGGAGUGCCAGGAAUCUGUACACAAAAUACGUGGGGUAUGAGGAUGUAAGGCGCGGUAUAAAAUGAGCUUUUUCUCGUAGAUGUGCUCUUUGACUGCUGCCGAGAGUUCUCCUUCUGCUCCGCCUACCUUCGUCUUCGCCAAUUCUCAGGAAGCAGGCCUCUAUGAGCUCCUUACUGAUAUUCAUUGCAGCUCUGCUCCGGCUCUGGUCUCUGAGUUCAGCUUUGCCAGAUAGAAAGCUGUACAUAGUUUACCUUGGUGCGAAGCAAUCUGUAUCAGAAGACCUGAAGCCGCUCAAUGUCUACCAUCAUGUUCUUCUUUCAAGUUUAAUGGGAAGUGAGGAAGCAACAAAUGCGAUGGUUUAUAGCUACUCAGAGAAUUUUUCGGGUUUCGCUGCGACUUUAACUCCGAGAGAAGCGGCUACCUUGUCAAGAUUAUCUGGAGUUCUGUCAGUUUUUCCAAGCAGGAUGAGGCAUCUACAUACAACGAGGUCGUGGGAGUUUCUGGGAGUAACUACACAAAACAAUGGCUCCAGUUCAGGUGGCGAUGUUGUCAUUGGAGUUUUUGACACAGGAGUAUGGCCGGAGUCUGAAAGCUUUAAUGAUCAUUCGUUUGGUCCAGUUCCUUCACGUUGGAAGGGCGAUUGCGCUGCCUCAAUCCGCUGCAACAGGAAACUUAUCGGAGCUCGUUUCUAUUCCAAGGGAUAUGAGAAAGAGUACGGUCCUUUGGCAGGCAAAAAAACUCCGAGGGACACCCAUGGCCACGGAACUCAUACUGCUUCGAUAGCUGCUGGGAGCCCUGUUGAAGGUGCGAACUUCUUUGGCCUUGCUAAAGGAGUUGCACGAGGCGGAGCUCCAGGAGCAAGGCUGGCUAUCUACAAAGUGUGCUGGGGAAUGGAGUGCUCGGAUGCAGAUGUGCUCGCUGCAUUCGAUGAUGCUCUCUCGGAUGGUGUCGACGUGCUGUCUAUCUCACUGGGACAGGAGCCAAUGGACUAUUUUGAAGAUGCGGUAGCAAUCGGUGGAUUCCAUGCGAUGCAAAAGGGCGUUCUUACUGUUGUCUCGGCCGGGAACGAAGGGCCAAGCUUGCAUGCAGCGAAGAACAUCGCUCCAUGGCUCUUUACUGUUGCUGCCAGCACCAUAGACAGGAAGUUCACGACCCAAAUAUUACUUGGAAACGGCUCCUCCUACAAGGGUACGUCUAUAAAUGGUUUUGCAACUCGUGAUAGCUGGCAUUCCUUGGUCUUUGCCGGGAGCGUUGGAGACGGACCAAAGUCAAAAUUCUGUGGCAAGGGUACGUUGCAUUCGGCUGAAAUCAAAGACAAGAUCGUCGUGUGCUAUGGUGACGACUAUCGCCCCGAUGAAUCGGUUCUUUUGGCUGGCGGGGGUGGUUUGAUCUACGUUCUUACGGAAGAAGUCGACACUAAGGAGGCCUUUUCAUUCUCUGUGCCUGCUACCGUGGUGAACAAAGGAGAUGGAAAGCAAGUGCUCGCUUAUGCUAAUUCAACACGGAAUCCUAUUGCUCGGUUUCUUCCCACGAUCGUGCGAACAGGAGAAGAAAUCAAAGCUACUGUAGCUCUUUUUUCAUCGCGUGGUCCCAAUUUGAUAACUCCAGACAUCCUCAAGCCAGAUAUCGUAGCACCAGGUGUGGAUAUACUCGCUGCAUGGUCACCGCGGGGUCCAGUCGCAGGUGUGAAGGAAGACAAACGCGUGGCCAAUUUUAACAUCAUCUCUGGAACUUCAAUGGCGUGUCCUCAUGUCUCAGGUGCCGUAUCCCUGGUGAAAUCAUUUCAUCCGGAAUGGUCUCCUGCAGCACUCAAGUCCGCUCUCAUGACAACAGCGACAGUCCUCGAUCAAAAGCAUAAAUUCAACAGGCAUGGAGCUCUCGCGUAUGGAUCUGGGCAGAUAAAUCCGGUGGCAGCGACAGAUCCCGGACUCAUCUAUGACAUCAGUGCCAGAGACUAUGCCAACUUCCUCUGCAACAUCAACUACAAUGCCACGCAAAUCCAUGUGAUGCUGGCAAUGACAAAGUUUCGCUGCUCCAAGAGCCAAGCUCCCGUCAACUCGUUAAACUAUCCGUCCAUCGCGCUGGGUGACCUCGAGCUCGGCCACUUGAACGUCUCGAUCACGCGUAGAGUGACGAACGUGGGAUCCCCAAACGCAACGUACCACGCUGCCGUCAAGCACCCCGGUGGUCGCGUCCGUGUGACAGUGACGCCGAGAAGGCUCCGCUUUUCUUCGACGGGGCAACGAAAAAGUUUCAGAGUGGAGCUGUUUGCGACACGGAUUCCGAGAGACAAGUUCUUGGAGGGGUCGUGGGAGUGGAGGGACGGGAAACACAUCGUGAGAAGUCCAAUACUCGUGUGGCGAAAGCAUUAGCUAUGCCGAGGAAGAACAACUCAAGGCACCAGAGAAGAGACAAGCGAAGAACAAGUAGCUUGCAAAGUGGAACUCUUAGUUCCGCUUAUCGAAAAAAAAAACGAAGAAAAAAAGGAAGGAAAACAAAACCAUUUGGACUUUACAGCUAUGGAGGUGCUCAGCUGGUGAUGAGGA